rnacentral:rRNA from 1 species
CCUCUUGUUAUUUAUAUGAGGUCUAACCUGCCCAAUGAAUUAUUCAAUGGCCGCGGUAUUUUAACCGUGCUAAGGUAGCGUAAUCAUUUGUCUUUUAAUUAAGGGCUGGAAUGAAAGGUUGGACGAGGUAUUAACUUUCUUUAAUUCAAUUAAUUGAACUUAAUUUUUAAGUUAAAAAGCUUAAAUUUACUUGUUGGACGAGAAGACCCUAUAGAUCUUUACAUUUAUAUUUGAUUGUAAUAUUUAGGGAUUGAUUCUUUAUAAUCAUUAAAGGUGUUUGGUUGGGGUGACUGUAGAAUAAUAAUAACUUCUAUAAUAUUUAUCGUUAAUUUUCGUUUAUAUGAUCCAUUAUUAGUGAUUAAAAGAUUAAGUUACCUUAGGGAUAACAGCGUAAUUUUUUCGGAGAGUUCAUAUCGAUGAAGGAGUUUGCGACCUCGAUGUUGGAUUAAAAUAAGUUCUUAGUGCAGUAGCUAAGGGGCUAGGUCUGUUCGACCUUUAAUUUUUUACAUGAUCUGA